CCUCUGUCAGUCCUCUAAUGCUGGAGGAGGGAGUGACAUCUGCAGUACUGUUUGCUGAUUUCUGCACUCUGAGGGGGGGGGGGGGGGAAGGAUUGGAGACUUGAGGGAAUUCAAUAUAAGCAGCAGAAAUGAUUAAGGAGUUGAAGGGGAUCAACUCUGGGGGAGAGACAUUAUGAAGAUAAAGUACACGCCACUCCAGUAUAGGAACGGACCUGCAGCUGACAGAUGUCAGGGGCAUUCUGAGCACUUGCUGGCUUGUCCUGUGGCUCUCAUUCAUUCCAGUUGUGUACGCUGGGAAGGUAGACAUGUCACUUCCUCAAGGUCACGCCUCCUGACCCGGAGCCAAGAAAUAACAGCGGGCAAUAGAAUAUUUGGUGCUUAGACCCAAGGACCAAAGAGAAGGUGAAAAGCCACUAUGGCCUGGCGGUGACAUGGAAUUGUCCACUAACACUCAGGGAAAUGAUCUUAGUGAUGAGUUCCCAAGCUGAAGAAGGCCACGGCCGAAAUAUUCAUCUUUCCAAAUCCAAGAAAACAGAAGAUGUGUGCUCAAAGUGACAAGAGACUAAAACUUAGGCUACUAAGAGAGCAGAUGCUCACGUAGCAUGGGAGAGCUCAGCCUUCCCGAGGCUAGCUGUGGGACAGAGGAUAGGAUUUCUGCUCUACCGAUUAAAUAAACCAGAGGGGCUUUAGAACUAAAGACUAGAAAGCAUACAUUAGGAGAAGAGUGGUUACCGGAAAGCACUUUCAGCCAUGGUGGAGGCAGAAGCCAAGGCUAAAAAGGAUGAAUCAACACACUGAGUACAAGCUAAGUCGGCAUAAGUAAGAGAAGAAGGGAGCCAAUGCCUAAGAACACAGUUCAGUUAAGUCGUACUAGAAAUCUGUGUUGAUUGGCGCACUAACGGAAAGCAGACAUCAGCACCGAGGAUUUAUGCGGCAUUACCAGUGGUUCUUCCGGGGCCGUGGUCUCCGCUGUGCGUCCUUUCAAAGUUCUCUAGAAAGAAAGGGCACGCGAGCGUGUCCAGGUGGCAGUGGGUGGUCCACAGGGUCCCCCCGACUAACGUUGAAAACUCUUUGCCUUGAUUUGGCUCCACAAAGGUUUCAGAGACGCUAGAGUGAAGAAGCUAGGGAAGCUCUAGUUAAGCAUUUGUACUGGCUCAUCCAGAGGACCCACACCAGCUUCCCAGGAUCCAUGGCGGGUGGCUCCCCACCACCAGGAACUUCAGCUCCAGGGAGUCCAGUGCCCUCUUCUGGCCUCUUUGAGACCCCACACACACUCAGCAUGCAUACAUACACACACACACACACACAAAUAAAUAAAUAAAAAUAAAUCUUUUGGAGCUGGAGAGGCAGCUCAGUGGUUGACUGCUCUUGCAGAGGACUCAAGUUGGAAUCCCAGCUUCCAGCGCACAGCUGCAUGUGACACUAGCUCCAAAAGGAUCAGUCACCUCUGGUCUCGGGCACCUGCGCUCACAUGUACAUGCUUGUACAUAUAUGUACAUAAUUAAAGAUAGAUAUUUUUAAAGGUUUUAUGCUGCUUCUGUUUACUACUAAUAAUUCACUCACAGAUGCAACAGUAUGCCACGGACUGUGCCUGUCUCUAGGCACAUAGCCACAAGUAAAACUGACUCUUCCUUGUUAAGCUUAGAGCUUGACAAAAUAUAAUAAGCCCAUAAAUACUGUUUAAAAUACUUGUUAAAGGAAUAUUCAUCAAUGGUAUAGAGAUGAUAAUAACCAGAAGAAAAUACAGUUAAAAUAUGUUAAAAGUGUCAACAAGAAAAAGUAAGAAAAUAUGUUCAUUAGAAUUGUCAACCUGGCAGCUGGAUGGUGGUGGCUCAUUAGAUCCUAGCGCUUGGGAGUCAGAGAAGAAUUGGCCACACAGCAAUCCUUGGGGUCUAUGGUCAUUCCAGGGUAAGACUGCAAAUGGGUCAGGUAGUACAUGGGCAAGGUAUACAGGCAAUUCAUUGAGGUGUGGCUGUGUUGUGAUGGAUAAAGGAGGCAGAGGAGCACAUGAGAAUGUGUGUGUUCUACAGAAAGUUUUAAGAUUUUUAUUUAUUUAUUAAGAUUUAUUUAUUAUUAUAUGUAAGUACACUGUAGCUAUCUUCAGAUACACCAGAAGAGGGCGUCAGAUCUCAUUUCGGAUGGUUGUGAGCCAGCAUGUGGUUGCUGGGAUUUGAAUUCAGGACCUUCAGAAGAGCAGUUGGUGCUCUUAACCGCUGAGCCAUCUCUCCAGCCCAAGAUUUUUUUUUUUUUUUAAUUUUUGAAAAUUGUGUGUUGGGAUGGAGAGAGAGCUCAGGGGUAAAGAACACUAGCCACUUCUCCAGAGGAUCCAGAUUCAAUUCCUAGCACCCACAUAGCAGCUCACAACCCUCAAUAACUGCAGUCCCAGGAGAUCUGAUGCUGCCUUCUAGCCUCUAGGAGCAUCUGGCACACAUGUGCAUAGACAUUCAUGCAGCCAAAACACUCACCCACAUUUUUAUGUGCAUAUCGGUGGAGUGUGUGUGCACAUGAGUAUAGGUAGCUUUGAGAUAACUGGCCCCCUUGGCGCUGACAAUACAGGUGGCUGUGAGCUGCUGGACAUGGGUGCCUGGGACUGAACUUGUGUCCUCUGAAAGAGCAGUACUUGCUCUUAACUGCUAAGGCGUGAGCAUAUUUAGAGCUGGACGUGGUGGUGUAGACCAAUAGAGAGGAAGCCGUUAAAGUCCAACUGAGCUCAGUAGAGAGGGGACAACCUACAGUAAGGCCAGGUAGCCUGGGCUCAAGCAGUGCACAAACUAGUAGGCCUGUCUAGUAGUGGGAAAGUAAGCACAUUUGUAUCUAGUGACUCAUUGUUUGUUUGGUCUGUUUGGGGGUGGAGGGAGUAGGGUGGGGACAAGGUCUCUUUAUGUAGCUGUUCUGGACCGUGCUACGUAGACCAGGAUGACCUGGCCUCACAGAGAUCCUCCUGCCUCUGCCCUGUUAAUGCUGAGAUUAAAAGUGUGUGCGACCACACCUGACCUGUGCUUUUUAUAGUUAAGUAGAAAUGAGGAGAUGGCCACAAAUGGGAAAGAGUGGUGUCUAAAGGGAGAUCUGAGCUAGCCAUGGAAGAGGACUUGGAGUUGGUGCACCUAGGCAUCGCUGAGUGCUGCCACGCGGGAUCUGAGCCUUAAGCGACACUGGUCUGAGUGCAGACCAGGGUAAAGUUUUUACUUUCUUACCUGUAUAAUGGACAUAUCAGAUAGAUGUCUAAGAAGUUGGGGAGCAAAUUAAGUCAUGUCCCUAACCCAGAACUUAGCAUUGAAUAAAGCCUCCAGAAAGAUA